rnacentral:rRNA from 1 species
GAUGAACGCUGGCGGCGUGCCUAAUACAUGCAAGUCGAGCGAACGGACGAGAAGCUUGCUUCUCUGAUGUUAGCGGCGGACGGGUGAGUAACACGUGGAUAACCUACCUAUAAGACUGGGAUAACUUCGGGAAACCGGAGCUAAUACCGGAUGAUAUUUUGAACCGCAUGGUUCAAAAGUGAAAGACGGUCUUGCUGUCACUUAUAGAUGGAUCCGCGCUGCAUUAGCUAGUUGGUAAGGUAACGGCUUACCAAGGCAACGAUGCAUAGCCGACCUGAGAGGGUGAUCGGCCACACUGGAACUGAGACACGGUCCAGACUCCUACGGGAGGCAGCAGUAGGGAAUCUUCCGCAAUGGGCGAAAGCCUGACGGAGCAACGCCGCGUGAGUGAUGAAGGUCUUCGGAUCGUAAAACUCUGUUAUUAGGGAAGAACAUAUGUGUAAGUAACUGUGCACCUCUUGACGGUACCUAAUCAGAAAGCCACGGCUAACUACGUG